CAUAGCCGUCAACAAAGAAACUAUCCAGCUGCCAGGAGCAAAAAAACACGAACACGAAAAGCGAAAUCACCGGCAGACUCAUGCGAUCACGGAAGCCAACGCAACCGUCCAGGUCCAAGCCGCUAGUAACUCCACCAACGGCGAAAGUCGCGCGAAAACAAAAGGGAAAGCAACGGAAGGCAAAAAGACUGGACAUCCCUCGUUGGAUAGCGACGAGAAAAACCGCCCUCAUCAACAAGCAGGGGAGAUGGAGUUGGCACCGAUCCCACACUAAACGCACUGAAACCCACGGACCACCACCGCCACCCAUCUCCGCUAGCAAUUCUCACUUCUCUCUCGAGAAAAAGAAAAAAAAAACAACACCAAUGAACCAGUUACCAAUAAAACCACCAAACCACGGCAUAGCCGUCAACAACGAAACGAUCCAGCUGCCGGGAGCCAAAAAAAAAAAGAA